UUUUUGAGACAGUCUCGCUCUGUCGCCCAGGCUGGAGUGCAGUGGCGCAAUCUCGGCUCACUGCAAGCUCCGCCUCCCGGGUUCACGCCAUUCUCCUGCCUCAGCCUCUCCGAGUAGCUGGGACUACAGGUGCCUGCCACCAUGCGUGGCUAAUUUUUUUGUAUUUUUAGUAGAGACGGGGUUUCACCGUGGUCUCGAUCUCCUGACCUCGUGAUCCGCCCGCCUCGGCCUCCCAAAGUGCUGGGAUUACAAGCGUGAGCCACCGCGCCCGGCCUGAACUAUAGGGUCUUGCGUACCAAUGAAACUACUGACAUCAGCUGGUCUGAAGGAUCCCACAAGGAGCUGACUCACCAAAGAAUGCAGUUUCCACUUCCUGAUGAUUUCAUCCCCCUUUCCUCAACCAACAAAUGACCCCAAUUUUCCAGCCCCUUGCCUGCCAUGGUUUCCUUAUAAUUCACAGCCCAGAACUCCUUGGAGAGAUGGAUUUGAGGGUUCCUCCCAUUUCCUCAUUUGGCUUCCCUGUGAUCAUUAAACUCUUUCUCUGCUGCAAA